UACGUAGGUGGCAAGAGUUGUCCGGAUUUACUGGGCGUAAAGAGCGCGCAGGCGGUCGAUCAAGUCGCGUGUGAAAGCCCCCGGCUCAACUGGGGAGGGUCACGCGAUACUGAUCGACUCGAAGGCAGGAGAGGGUAGUGGAAUUCCCGGUGUAGUGGUGAAAUGCGUAGAUAUCGGGAGGAACACCAGUGGCGAAGGCGACUACCUGGCCUGUUCUUGACGCUGAGGCGCGAAAGCUAGGGGAGCAAACGGG
rnacentral:rRNA from 1 species